UGAAAUGCGAAAAGUAAUGCGAUUUGCAUGAAUCUGUGAGUCAUCAAGUCUUUGAACGCACCUUGCACCAUGUGAGCAAUUGCAUGGUAUACCUGUUUGAGAAUCGUAAAAACCUCUUUCCACCGCAAGGUGGGAGAUUUGUCGGUUGUGCCCCUCACGGCGGUACUCUGAUCAAAAGCAGUAGGUCCGGAUCAGGCUAGUGGCCUGGGACAUUGUGUGCUAGAGACGUUGGCCUUGUGCCUGCAGUCUUCUCACAGUGCGUCCUAGGCCAUCAAGCUAACCUGGUCAAUCGGGUCUGUACAGUGAGUGAGCCUUAGCCUAACGGCUGGUGCUCAUGACCAACCCCACACUUUUGAUCUCAAAUCAGGUAAGGCUACCCGCUGAACUUAA
rnacentral:misc_RNA from 1 species